ACUUCCGGGAUUCCCUAGUACGGCGAGUGAAGCGGGAAGAGCUCAAAUUUGAAAUCUGGUGGCCUCAGGUCAUCCGAGUUGUAAUCUAUAGAAGUGUUUUCCGUGCUGGCUCAUGUACAAGUCCCUUGGAACAGGGCGUCAUAGAGGGUGAGAAUCCCGUCCUUGACAUGAACUACCAGUGCUCUGUGAUACAUUUUCAACGAGUCGAGUUGUUUGGGAAUGCAGCUCAAAAUGGGUGGUAAAUUCCAUCUAAAGCUAAAUAUUGGCGAGAGACCGAUAGCGAACAAGUACCGUGAGGGAAAGAUGAAAAGCACUUUGGAAAGAGAGUUAAACAGUAUGUGAAAUUGUUGAAAGGGAAACGAUUGAAGUCAGUCGUGCUCUUUGGAUUCAGCCGGUUCUGCCGGUGUACUUCCUUUGAGUGGGGUCAACAUCAGUUUUGAUCGCUGGAUAAAGGCUGGAGGAACGUAGUACCCUCGGGUAAACUUAUAGCCUCCUGUCACAUACAGUGGUUGGGACUGAGGAACGCAGCACGCCUUUAUGGCCGGGAUUCGUCCACGUACGUGCUUAGGAUGUUGACAUAAUGGCUUUAAACGACCCGUCUGAAA
rnacentral:rRNA from 1 species